GGCAUUGUAGUCGAAUGGCUGGGUAUGGAGUUGGUCUCGUAACCUAAAGGUCACAGGUUCGAUUCCUGUGCAGGACA
rnacentral:tRNA from 1 species